UCCCUGGUUGUCUAGUGGUAAGGAUUCGGCUCUCACCCGCGGCCGGGUUCGAUUCCCGGUCAGGGAA
rnacentral:tRNA from 1 species